GUGCUCUCCCGCCGCCUGAGUGGGCGCGGCGCGGGACGGCGGCGCGGGGUGCCGGGAGCCAUGGGCUAUUGCAGUGGCCGGUGCACACUGGUGGCCGUCUGCGGCGCGCAGCUGGUUUCUGUGCUCGAGAGGCAGAUAUUUGACUUCCUUGGUUAUCAGUGGGCACCUAUCCUGGCAAAUUUUAUACAUAUUAUUGUAGUCAUACUUGGCUUAUUUGGAACCAUCCAGUAUAGACCUCGUUACAUAACAGGAUAUGCUGUCUGGCUGGUUCUUUGGGUUACGUGGAACGUGUUUGUUAUCUGCUUCUAUUUGGAGGCUGGGGACCUUUCAAAGGAAACAGACCUCAUUCUGACCUUUAAUAUCUCAAUGCAUCGUUCUUGGUGGAUGGAGAAUGGGCCAGGCUGCACCGUGACCUCAGUAACCCCAGCACCAGACUGGGCACCAGAGGAUCAUCGUUAUAUCACUGUCUCGGGGUGUUUUCUUGAAUAUCAGUACAUAGAGGUGGCUCACAGUUCUCUUCAGAUCUUCCUUGCACUGGCAGGCUUCAUCUAUGCCUGUUAUGUUGUGAAGUGUAUUACUGAAGAAGAGGACAGCUUUGACUUCAUAGGUGGAUUUGACUCUUACGGCUAUCAAGGUCCACAGAAGACAUCUCAUUUACAACUGCAGCCCAUGUAUAUUGCCAACAGCGUGCUCUAUGCUGUACAAGCCAAGAAGCCUAGACAGUCCCUUCAAAACGAAUACGCUUUUUGAACAGAACGGGACAGAACCGAUGCUCAUGUACCUCCUUGCAGUGUGGCCACAGCUGAUGUACUCAAAAGCAGCUUCCUGGCAUUCUGUGCUGGAGAUGCCAGUGUUCAUUUCCAGACCAUGGGAGAAGAACACAAUAAGAUGGCGGAAAUCAAUUGACAAGAGAAAAUUCUGCUCUUGGGAGGUGAUCGAGGAAGGUCAAAGUAAACAUGGGGACUACCCAAGGAGGGAUGGAAGACCACUGUCAAAGAAACUCUUUCAGAAUGGCCUCCUGAUUCUUCAAAGAGAAAAAAAUCCAAUUUUUCUGCUAAAAGAAAAAUAUAAAAGCUGAUUGAACAGUGAGACAGAAAACAAGAGACUUUCAGCCCCUCUUUCUAACAGGUACUAAAGGAGAUGCCCCAGACCCCCACCUUGGACCUCCUGCCUCCCAGCACCAGAGGGACAGAGCAGAGGCAUUGGUGCCAUCUUUUAUCUCUUCCCUAUCCCGGCCACUGCCAGCGUGACCCAUCUGGAUUAAGACAUGAACUCGGUGCUUUUGGAGACUCCUUCACACUUCUGGCCGCAUCGAGUCUCCUUAGUCAACACGACACUGAAAUACCAGGAUGACCUUGCAGCAGAAGUCAAUAGACAGCGCAUUGUUUGCCCUGAAGGCUGUACAGUUCAUACUUGCCUUAACCCAACUGCAUUGCACAUUAGAGAAACUACGUGCAAGCUUUCUGAAGUUAACAUGCUGCUGUUAAUUCUGAACAAUUUCUAAGUCAGUGGUUUUCUUCUGUUUGGUUUUGCUUUGUUUUCGUGUCAGGGAAUAAGGCUCUGUUGCUCUAUGGCUCCAGAGCGACCAAGUAGAAAACUGCCAGCUGUCUGAUAAGUGCUUUACUUUUGAGACUCCACAGUGGUCAAGAAACAGUUUAUAAUGAUUAAAAAGAAAAAGAAAGAAAGAAAUAAGACCUUUGGGGGGUCAGGGUGAGGAAAGGGGUAACAUAAACUAAUAAUUGAACCUACUGGAAAUACGCAGCAGAAAUAGUUCUUUAAUCCCACUGGUUUUAUUUAUUGCACUGUAGGUGCUUUUAUAGCUAUCUCUAAACGUCUUUUACUAACUACAGAGACAUCUGCAGAUUUCUAUCAACAAAGGCCAACUGAAUAUGUACUAGCUACGUUUAGUUUUUUAUAUCUAAUUUCAACUAAAAAUUCUCUGUAAGUGAACUUUUUUUUUCCUAAUUGCACCAUAAGGGAUCCACAUAUUUUAUUUUUUGAUUUCAGUUGGAGAGGGCAAGGAGGCACUAGUUGAGAUGAAGAAAUAUUGAAGACCUUUUUGGGGUAUAUUUGGGGGAUCUGUUCUGUGUUAGAAUGUGUAUUUUAUCUUCUGUAUUAUUGUGGCUGAAAAAAAAAAACUGUGCUGUUACGUAGUUGGCAACAAGAUGCCUUUGGGAAUUUUGCUAGUAGGUCAAUGUGUAUAUGAAAUACUCUGAACUCCUAGGAACAUAUGUUUUAUUCUACAGCUGAUCUGUAUUUUCAAGAACAUAGGUGGCUUUCACUAGGAAAACCCAAUACUUUGCUCAGGUUUUUCAGAAACUUGGAUUGUCAUUGUUUCUUUGCUCAGACCUUGCAUAGACAAACCCACGCACCUACCACACCUGAGGUGACCACGUAGGUUUUGAGGGCAAGAGGAAAGGCCAACACUUGUAGAAGCUUGAGGUACACCUGAGCAACUCCCUUUUCCUUGCUGGCCAAGGCCUUGCUCCAAAGGCCUGUGCGCUCACACCACUCACUCAUUCCUGUACAAACCAGUGCCCUUUGCUGUGUCUGCAUGGAUGUACAGUGUCACAAGUAGCAACUCUGGACAAUGACAGAGGGACAGUGAAAGUAAGAUAUGGGACAUAUUCAGGAGCUAUGCUUACAUUGAUUCAGUGAGAUUUAUAUAGAUAGAUAUAUAUAUAUAUGUAAGUGUGUGAAUGUGUGUGUAUGUCUAUGUAUAUAAAAUACACAGGAAUAAUUAUUGUUGGGGGCUGCAUCACCCAGGAAGAUUCUGAUGCAGUGGACCAAGGGCUCCUGUCUCAGAUACUGCUGGGAAUUUCCUGCAUGAAACAGGCACGUACUCUAGGCCUGAUCCCAUAAAGCAUUCACUGCUGAUUUGGAUCUCAAAUUUAAAUUUUCAUACUUGGGGACCUAAAUUCUGAGUUCCUUCUGGAUAGAGCUGCUUUUCACCCUCUGGAAACCCCAUGCAACUUCCGAGUGCCAGGAUGAGAUUUCCCAUAACUUGAAAAAUUUCAAAAGUUUCUACUUUUAUGUAGUAUUAAAUAUAGCAGAUGUAUAGAAUUAAACAUAACAUAGAGGUUUAAAUGGAAUGAAAAUGUCAUAACAGGUUCUUUUAUCUUUCCCUGUAUACCAGUUAAUCAAGAUGAUAUUUCUAUAAAAAUCACUUUUUAACAUGAAAAGAAACCAGUUUAGGCACCUAAGCAGCAAUCCAAUUCUCAGACGAUAAUUUUUCAUACCUCUCAGUGAUUUCCCAUGGAACAGCAGCUACUGCUAGUUAGCAAUUUUAGAAGUCAGACAAUUUAAUGAAGUGUCUACAUGUAGUUUAUAGGCCUGAUUUUAAUUUAGAAAAUUUUGGCCUUAGUUUCUCUGUGUCUUAGUCUUCCCAUCUAUAAUACGGGAAUAAUAUGUGCCUCACAGGCUUUUUGUGAGGUCUGAAUUGUUAAUGUUUGUAAAAUGCUUAGGAAAUAGGAAGCACAUCUAAACUACUACAGAUUGCAAUAUAAAUGUGUAUUCAUAUAUUACAUAUAGAGUAGAUACACACACUCGCUUACACACAGUAUACAUAUAUAUAUACGCAUACUUACCUAUAUGAAGUUGGUAUUCAUAACCCUGCUUAAAUUGCAGUUAGAGCACCACCAUUUAAAAAAUUAGGACUGUUGACUACUCAACUAAAUGAUUAGUGGACAGAUCUCUUCUGGAAGCAGUUUAGAGCACAGUAGUGUGAGAAUAUCUGGAUGGCACUUUUGAUUUGUACAGCUGUAUCCUCCUCAAAAUCCAGUAAAGAAUGUUAUUUUUCUAGGCUGGGCUUUUGUUAUAAACUAAAAUAUUCAGAAGGCAAGAGAUACAAUCCAAAUGUGGUUUUUUUUCUUUUCUUUUCUUUUUGGCAUUUGUUAAUUCCGAAUGUAUUUUUAACAAAAGUGAUUUUUUUGACUUACUAGUGUAAUUUGCAUUUUAAAAAAAAAUAAAUGGAAAAAAUAUAGGUUUCCAAGCUAUUCAUGGCCCCCUGCUGCUAUUCACAACUUAUGGGAAACUUAGAAUUACUGUUACCAGCUGAGCAACAAUGCAGGAUAAAUAAUCCUAUUACAUUUACACGAUGACAAUCCUGAUCUGUGCAGUGCAUGGAUGUGACAGCACUGAAUAGAAAUUGCCAGGUCAUGACACCAUUUUAACACUGUCAUAUGUAGCAGGUAUUUUCAUUAGCACUGACACUAAAAGGUUUCCUUUACAAGGUUGACUGCAACAGACUCUUCACUUAGGAAGCAGGGCUGGUUUUGUGCACUCAUCAGGAAUUUUAAGCCUAUGAUAGGUAUACAGUGGCCAACAGUGUUAAGUAUUACAAAAGUAAUCCUUUUUAAGAAGGAACUAUGUAACAUGGAUAUUUCCACUGCAUUAAUAUUCUUUUAUAUGCCAUUUAUUGUCCCUAUACUGAAAUGAAGAAAUAUUGUGAAAUGUUUAUAGAGUUCACACAUAUAUGCCUGAGGUAAUUUAAUAAAGGUGGAGCAGAACAGUAUACAUUUUGAGAUAGUCGGUCAUACUGUCUUAAGAUAAGUCCUUAGAAAGAGAGUGUAUUAAUUAAUGUCACUAGGAUUUUUUUAGGCCUUCAUUAUAGUGCAAGUGAUACUUUUCAGUCAGGUAAGGAGAAAAGAUUUGUGCUCCAUUUACUUGAUUUAAGCUUGCAAUACUGUACUGCUGCACAGAAUUUUGGCAAAGUCUAGCACAGUAUGUAUUGAUUCCUAGAUGUCUCCAAAUAGGAAUGGCUAUUAACUCAGUGUCUGAAGGUUUUGAUCACUUGCACGCUUACCUUCUGUUUAAGUACAUUAAUAGUAGCCAGAGCAAAACUCCAUACACCAUGGACCCUUCCAGCCUGUAAUAUUUUCAUUGCCAGUCCUCUUUUCUAUUUUUAAAUGCAAAUGCUCAGAAGAUGAGGAUUUUUCCACAAAGAUGGAAAGCCCCAUGAAUACUCUGUGAGGUACUCUCCUUGCUGACUAUCUGCUGAUGAGUAACUGAGGUGAAAUUGAUGGACUUUUCUUUUCUAGCUAAUCUGAAUCUGGCUUCCCAGCACUUGCGGAUUGGUGACAGGCACUAAAGGUAAACCAGGUUUUAUUGAAGGACCAAUGCAUAGCAAUACUGCAAACAGCGCUCUGUCCACUUCUCCUUGGAGAAAGAUGUAGGCAGUUGUUAUGCUAAUUGGUCUGCUCCAAACUAUGUGUAAUAUUAAAUGUAAUGACCAUGCAUAAAAGCAAGUGCCCUUUAGACUGCAGUUACUCAUUCAUGUAUGGAAGUGGUGCAGCACAGAAUGAAUCAGUAAAAGAGCUUUUCUUCCUGUAGUCACUAAUAUGCUUCAUUCCCAGACAUGGAUUGGAAAAAUUAGCUCUGUUUGAUCUCAUGUUCUGACAAGUUGCUCUGUUCAGAUCUUCACCAAGAGAGGCAAUUGCAGCUAGUUAGAGUUGUGACCUUUGCACAGCUGAGAAGAAAGAUAUUGUACCAAAUGUGAAAUUCUAAGUAGCAUCAUAUAUACAUUUGUUGCACAUCUCUCUCCAUAUGUACAAAAGAAGGGUCUUUUAAAAUGAACUUUUCCUUUAUCUCUCAGAAAUCAACUGAGAUAGAUAAUGUCUUUCACAAGGGUCUUCCAAAUUCUGCCAAGAUCACUUCAGAGAUUUUUUUUCUUGUGUCCAAUAAAAGCAUCAUCUUUUCUGCUCUCUGUUGAGUAGAAGAGUUAGCUCUUGGGGCUUCCAAAUGCCUUGGGAUUAUUAUUUUGGAUAGGUAGGAUCACUGUGAAACCUAAGAAUUAAAAAAACUAAUGUUUGUGGUCGUCUCUGAUUCAAAAUUAAUUCUUCUGUACAAAAGCCAUACGUUUGCAUCCACCAGUGGAAAAGGGUCUUUGCUGCCACCUGUUACCUAAUCACUUUCCUAGCUUUGCCAUUGUCCUGCUGGGAAACAGGCUAUGGGGAGCUAAACAUGAAGCAGCGUGUUCAUAUUCAGCAUGUGCUCUUCAAGAGUCUCCAGUUCUGCCACACAGAAUGCUAUUUCAUAUGUAUUUAAUUUAUUUCUCCCUGUCACCAUCUUCUUGUCCCAUUAUCACUCUCCCCAUCUUCCUGAACACAAUCCCAAAUACUCUCCCAAAAUUACAUACUUCUAUUUGGAACAUCCAUUGUUUCCAACUGUUUACAUAAUGAUGAUGAUAGUCAUGGAGGACAGUAUCACUGUGGAUAUCUGCAAAAUGACAAGAUGAGGAAGCACAAAGGUCCCAGAUGCAGGGAGACACUUAACAGAAGGGUAAAGGGUGGCAGCAUUACAGAAGCUGUGAGGUACAGCGAGUCCCAGUAGGAAUCAUAUUCACAUGUUCAAUUGCAUUUGUUGAAGCUAUAGUUCAUUGAGCACGUAGACAGCCAUAAAUAUCCAGAGCUACAAAAGGCACAGGUGAACUGGAAGAAAAUGUGUUUGCGAACAUGUUGACUGGAUUAGAUUCACAUUUCAAUGUCUUUGAAUUUGUCUCAGGGUUGUUUUUUCCUUCUUGCAAACAUUUGGAUGGUUGGCUUCUGUACACGCAGGUGAAUGUUUGUUCCUAGGAGAGCACGUACCUAUGUGCAGUUGAAUUCAUUUACAUGGGAUUCUCAGUAUCCAUGCAUCUAUGUGCUUUUGUGUAAACGUUGGCUCAGCUCACUCUGUCACACAUAUCUACACUCAAACAUAUCUGUUAUGUGAGUAUAUUUUAUGAUGGGGACACAAAGCCACCUACAGUUUCCCCCUCUUUCUACAUAGCUUUUCCUAUCCCUCCUCUCAAGAGAUGCAAAGUCUCAAGUAUUUAUUUUUUAGAUGGGCAUUCAGUAUACAAAAAUUAUAAUUUCUGAUACUUACUGGACGUACAAGUAUGGUGCAAUCUAUGAACACAGUAAAUAAGACAGUCCUUUCUGCAAAGAGUUUAUGUGUUAAAUAAAGUAAGCAAAUGAGAACAUUUUAAUUUAAAAAAAAAAAAAAGAAAAAA